GUUUCCUCUGCAUGCACUGAUCCUCAAGAUUCCACAUACGAUCCUGCACAGUCUGCUACAAUGGAGACAGAAUCAUCUCAGCUUUUUACAUCACCAGUGACUUCAUAUGGCGAUGCAAAAUACAUUGUUUUUGAGCAAUGCCUCUUCAGCCUGUUCGAGAUCUGCCCUGUGUGCACAAGAACCUGUACAUUCCUGCCACGCAGAAGAGGGUCCUUCCUAGCGAUCGACCAACUAUGCCCUCACUGCAAGUUCUUCCGACAGUGGAAGAGUCAGCCAGUUAUUGGGAGCACCCCUGUGGGCAACCUUCAGCUGUCUGCUGCCAUUUACUUUUGUGGAGCUUCAUUUUCAAAGAUGAAAAAGGUAUCAUUGUGCUCAUUGUCCCCUGCAGGAAGUGUUUGUCUUUCACUGAUGACUUCACAACUGAUCUACUUUUAAUUAUUUUAUAGAUAUUUGAUGCAAUGCAGCUGAGAACACACACGUAUGAUGCCUUCAGAAGACAUUGUGUACAGAAAUGGGUUUUGUUUAGUGAAAGUGUGAGAUCAGGCCUAAUUGCCAGCCAUCAAAAUGCAAAUCAUUACAGUUUUAGGCUGCUCUAACUGAAAGGCACUUGUAACAACACCGGUUAGAGUACAGCUUUGGCACAGCCUACAGGUUUAGCCAAUGCUUUUGCUGUGAGUUAAUAGUAGUAUUUUGCUUGGUGUGUGCUUACAAAAGUGACAAGUGACAAUUGUUACAACAUUUCUGCUGUUUCAUUUAGGUUGUACCUUGCAGCUAUGCAUUUCAAUGAGAAUGCUCAGCGCCCACAACGGAAGACAGCCAAGGGGAAACUAAUGUACAGGCUUGUGUUUCCAAAGGCCAAAAGGGGAGGUUACACGGUCAAAAAAAGACAGAGCCAACGAUUUGCUAUGUCUUUAACCUGAUAAGACUGGUGUUCGAAGAGAUCGUCCAUGACUCCCUUCCUUAUGUGGAUGCCGUCCAGCAGAUUCCUGUGCCCCAAGACUUGUGUGCUCAGCUUCCCAGACCUUCCAGGGAGGAUGCUGUCGCUGAGCAUGUGUCACGGUUCAGUCGAGGGGGGGUCUGAACCCGACAUACUGCCCUGAUGUUUCCGGAAACUCCCUCCGUAUGCGCAGCACCACACAAGAGGGGAUCACAACACGGACACUUCGCCCAAGGAAACCCCAGCACCAGCUCACGAAAGAUCUGUAGGCCAAGUG